GAUGAACGCUGGCGGCGUGCUUAACACAUGCAAGUCGUACGGUAAGGCCCUUUCGGGGGUACACGAGUGGCGAACGGGUGAGUAACACGUGAGUAACCUGCCCACAACUUUGGGAUAACGCUAGGAAACUGGUGCUAAUACUGGAUAUGUGCUCCUGCUGCAUGGUGGGGGUUGGAAAGCUCCGGCGGUUGUGGAUGGACUCGCGGCCUAUCAGCUUGUUGGUGGGGUAGUGGCCUACCAAGGCGGCGACGGGUAGCCGGCCUGAGAGGGUGACCGGCCACAUUGGGACUGAGAUACGGCCCAGACUCCUACGGGAGGCAGCAGUGGGGAAUAUUGCACAAUGGGCGCAAGCCUGAUGCAGCAACGCCGCGUGCGGGAUGACGGCCUUCGGGUUGUAAACCGCGUUCAGCAGGGACGAAGCUUUUUGUGACGGUACCUGCAGAAGAAGCACCGGCUAACUACGUG
rnacentral:rRNA from 1 species